rnacentral:rRNA from 1 species
GGGUUGUGAGGUUAAGCGACUAAGCGUACACGGUGGAUGCCCUGGCAGUCAGAGGCGAUGAAGGACGUGCUAAUCUGCGAUAAGCGUCGGUAAGGUGAUAUGAACCGUUAUAACCGGCGAUUUCCGAAUGGGGAAACCCAGUGUGAUUCGUCACACUAUCAUUAACUGAAUCCAUAGGUUAAUGAGGCGAACCGGGGGAACUGAAACAUCUAAGUACCCCGAGGAAAAGAAAUCAACCGAGAUUCCCCCAGUAGCGGCGAGCGAACGGGGAGGAGCCCAGAGCCUGAAUCAGUGUGUGUGUUAGUGGAAGCGUCUGGAAAGGCGCGCGAUACAGGGUGACAGCCCCGUACACAAAAAUGCACAUACUGUGAGCUCGAUGAGUAGGGCGGGACACGUGGUAUCCUGUCUGAAUAUGGGGGGACCAUCCUCCAAGGCUAAAUACUCCUGACUGACCGAUAGUGAACCAGUACCGUGAGGGAAAGGCGAAAAGAACCCCGGCGAGGGGAGUGAAAAAGAACCUGAAACCGUGUACGUACAAGCAGUGGGAGCCUCUUAAUGGGGUGACUGCGUACCUUUUGUAUAAUGGGUCAGCGACUUAUAUUCUGUAGCAAGGUUAACCGAAUAGGGGAGCCGAAGGGAAACCGAGUCUUAACUGGGCGUUAAGUUGCAGGGUAUAGACCCGAAACCCGGUGAUCUAGCCAUGGGCAGGUUGAAGGUUGGGUAACACUAACUGGAGGACCGAACCGACUAAUGUUGAAAAAUUAGCGGAUGACUUGUGGCUGGGGGUGAAAGGCCAAUCAAACCGGGAGAUAGCUGGUUCUCCCCGAAAGCUAUUUAGGUAGCGCCUCGUGAAUUCAUCUCCGGGGGUAGAGCACUGUUUCGGCAAGGGGGUCAUCCCGACUUACCAACCCGAUGCAAACUGCGAAUACCGGAGAAUGUUAUCACGGGAGACACACGGCGGGUGCUAACGUCCGUCGUGAAGAGGGAAACAACCCAGACCGCCAGCUAAGGUCCCAAAGUCAUGGUUAAGUGGGAAACGAUGUGGGAAGGCCCAGACAGCCAGGAUGUUGGCUUAGAAGCAGCCAUCAUUUAAAGAAAGCGUAAUAGCUCACUGGUCGAGUCGGCCUGCGCGGAAGAUGUAACGGGGCUAAACCAUGCAC